GACGAACGCUGGCGGCGUGCCUAAUACAUGCAAGUCGAGCGAAGUUUUUCUGGUGCUUGCCCUAGAAAAACUUAGCGGCGAACGGGUGAGUAACACGUAAAGAACCUGCCUCAUAGACUGGGACAACUAUUGGAAACGAUAGCUAAUACCGGAUAACAGUAUUUCUCGCAUGAGAGAUAUUUAAAAGUUGGUUAUGCUAACACUAUGAGAUGGCUUUGCGGUGCAUUAGCUAGUUGGUGGGGUAAAGGCCCACCAAGGCGACGAUGCAUAGCCGACCUGAGAGGGUGAUCGGCCACACUGGGACUGAGACACGGCCCAGACUCCUACGGGAGGCAGCAGUAGGGAAUCUUCCGCAAUGGGCGAAAGCCUGACGGAGCAACGCCGCGUGAGUGAAGAAGGAUUUCGGUUCGUAAAGCUCUGUUGUCAGGGAAGAAUGGAUAUGUAGUAACUAUACAUGUAAGAGACGGUACCUAACCAGAAAGCCACGGCUAACUACGUG
rnacentral:rRNA from 1 species